rnacentral:rRNA from 1 species
GAUGAACGCUGGCGGCGUGCCUAAUACAUGCAAGUCGAGCGAACAGAUGAGGAGCUUGCUCCUCUGACGUUAGCGGCGGGCGGGUGAGUAACACGUGGAUAACCUACCUAUAAGACUGGGAUAACUUCGGGAAACCGGAGCUAAUACCGGAUAAUAUAUUGAACCGCAUGGUUCAAUAGUGAAAGACGGUUUUGCUGUCACUUAUAGAUGGAUCCGCGCCGCAUUAGCUAGUUGGUAAGGUAACGGCUUACCAAGGCGACGAUGCGUAGCCGACCUGAGAGGGUGAUCAGCCACACUGGAACUGAGACACGGUCCAGACUCCUACGGGAGGCAGCAGUAGGGAAUCUUCCGCAAUGGGCGAAAGCCUGACGGAGCAACGCCGCGUGAGUGAUGAAGGUCUUCGGAUCGUAAAACUCUGUUAUUAGGGAAGAACAAAUGUGUAAGUAACUAUGCACGUCUUGACGGUACCUAAUCAGAAAGCCACGGCUAACUACGUG